rnacentral:rRNA from 1 species
GAGUUUGAUCUUGGCUCAGGACGAACGCUGGCGGCGUGCUUAACACAUGCAAGUCGCACGGGGUAGCAAUACCCAGUGGCGAACGGGUGCGUAACACGUGAGGAACCUGUCCAACGGCGGGGGAUAGCCGGCCCAACGGCCGGGUAAUACCGCGUACGACCUUCGAGGGGCAUCCCUUGAUGGUGAAAGCAGCAAUGCGCCGAUGGAGGGCCUCGCGGCCUAUCAGCUAGUUGGUGAGGUAAUGGCUCACCAAGGCGACGACGGGUAGACUGGUCCGAGAGGAUGACCAGCCACAUUGGGACUGAGACACGGCCCAGACUCCUACGGGAGGCAGCAGUGGGGAAUAUUGCGCAAUGGGCGAAAAGCCUGACGCAGCGACGCCGCGUGU